GACGGAGGGUGCAAGCGUUGUCCGGAAUCACUGGGCGUAAAGGGCGCGUAGGCGGCUCAUGAAGGCUGUGGUGAAAGUCCGGGGCUCAACCUCGGAUCGGCCGUGGCGACUCGUGGGCUGGAGCACUGUAGAGGCGGGUGGAAUUCCGGGUGUAGCGGUGGAAUGCGUAGAGAUGCGGAGGAACACCGAUGGCGAAGGCAGCCCCCUGGGCUAACACUGACGCUCAGGCACGAAAGCGUGGGGAGCAAACAGG
rnacentral:rRNA from 1 species